rnacentral:rRNA from 1 species
UACGAGGGGGGCAAGCGUUAUUCGGAAUUAUUGGGCGUAAAGGGCGCGUAGGCGGCUUGGCAAGUGGAAGGUGAAAUCCCUCGGCUUAACCGAGGAACUGCCCUCCAAACUGCUUCGCUUGAGACCGGGAGAGGUGAGUGGAAUUCCCAGUGUAGCGGUGAAAUGCGUAGAUAUUGGGAGGAACACCAGGGGCGAAGGCGGCUCACUGGACCGGUACUGACGCUGAUGCGCGAAAGCGUGGGGAGCAAACGGG